GUUUUAGUAGUUUAACAAAAAUAUUAAUUUUGUAAGUUAAAGAUACUUUAGUUUAAAACUC
rnacentral:tRNA from 1 species